rnacentral:rRNA from 1 species
AUGGCCCUACUAUAUUUUUUAUUGCAUCAAGAAAACAAAAGAAUUAUACAAAAAACGAAAAGGAAAAGGUUUGAGGAUAACAAAGCAAAAAAGGGCAGCCUGGUGAAUGUAGCUCCCGCUUGCACAGGGUCCGAGGAAAGGUCCGACCACAUUGGGUCUAUAGUAUGCAGCCUUUUCCUACAUUUCUUUAAGAGGUUAUUUUUAGGACUUGACCCCGUGGGCAGCAGCUUUACCGCUGCGACAAGGCUCCCCUUCUUAGGAAAACAAAGCAAAACAAAACAAAAAAGGAAGGAUAAGAAAAAUAGAAUCUACAUAUGGUGA